rnacentral:rRNA from 1 species
UUAAGUGAAUAAGGGCGCACGGUGGAUGCCUUGGCACUAGGAGCCGAUGAAGGACGGGACGAACACCGAUAUGCUUUGGGGAGCUGUAAGUGAGCUUUGAUCCAGAGAUUUCCGAAUGGGGGAACCCAUCACCAGUCAUAGGGUGAUAUCUUUUCAGUGAAUCUAUAGCUGAGAAGAAGGUAGACGUGGGGAACUGAAACAUCUCAGUACCUGCAGGAAGAGAAAGCAAACGCGAUUCCCUGAGUAGCGGCGAGCGAAACGGGAAGAGGCCAAACCAGAGUGCUUGCACUCUGGGGUUGUAGGACCGGCAAUAUGGACGAGUAAGGAUAGCAGAAAUAAUUGGAAUGUUAUGCGAGACAGGGUGAAAGCCCCGUAUGCGACAUCCGACCUUGCCUAGCCGGUAUCCUGAGUACGGCGGAACACGAGAAAUUCCGUCGGAAUCCGGGAGGACCAUCUCCCAAGCCUAAAUACUCCCUAGUGACCGAUAGUGAACCAGUACCGUGAGGGAAAGGUGAAAAGAACCCCGGAAGGGGAGUGAAACAGCACCUGAAACCGUGUGCUUACAAGUAGUCAGAGCCCGUUUAUGGGUGAUGGCGUACCUUUUGUAGAAUGGACCGGCGAGUGACGAUGUCAUGCAAGGUUAAGCCGAAGAGGUGGAGCCGCAGCGAAAGCGAGUCUGAAUAGGGCGUUCAGUAUGCCGUCGUCGACCCGAAACCAAGUGACCUACCCAUGUCCAGGGUGAAGGUGCAGUGAAAUGCACUGGAGGCCCGAACCCACGUACGUUGAAAAGUGCGGGGAUGAGGUGUGGGUAGCGGAGAAAUUCCAAUCGAACUUGGAGAUAGCUGGUUCUCUCCGAAAUAGCUUUAGGGCUAGCCUCGGAUAGUGCAUCGCGGAGGUAGAGCGACUGUUUGGACUAGGGGCCCUUAUCGGGUUACCGAAUCCUGAUAAACUCCGAAUGCCGCUGAUGUAGAUCCGGGAGUCACACUGCGAGUGAUAAGAUCCGUAGUGGAAAGGGAAACAGCCCAGACCGUCGGUUAAGGUCCCAAAAUCCUUGUUAAGUGGAAAAGGAUGUGGGGCUGCUCAGACAACUAGGAUGUUGGCUUAGAAGCAGCCAUCAUUUAAAGAGUGCGUAAUAGCUCACUAGUCGAGUGGCCCUGCGCCGAAAAUUUACCGGGGCUAAACAAGGUACCGAAACCACGGAUAGAACCAUUGGUUCUAUGGUAGGAGAGCGUUCUAAGGGCAUUGAAGCAAGAUCGUGAGGACUUGUGGAGCGCUUAGAAGUGAGAAUGCCGGUAUGAGUAGCGAAACACGGGUGAGAAUCCCGUGCACCGAAUGACUAAGGUUUCCUGGGGAAGGCUCGUCCUCCCAGGGUUAGUCGGGACCUAAGCCGAGGCCGAUAGGCGUAGGCGAUGGACAACAGGUAGAGAUUCCUGUACCAGUCUGCUUUGUUUGAACGAUGGAGGGACGCAGGAGGCUAAGAUAUGCACGCUGUUGGAUAUGCGUGCCCAAGCAACAAGUCCGAGUAGGAGUCAAAUGCUUCUAUUCAUACGGAUGAGUUGUGAUGGGGAGGGAACUUAUAGUACCGAAGUAUCUGAUGUCACACUGUCAAGAAAAGCUUCUAGUGAGAAGUAGGCUGCCCGUACCGCAAACCGACACAGGUAGUCGAGGAGAGAAUCCUAAGGUGAUCGAGAGAACUCUCGUUAAGGAACUCGGCAAAAUGACCCCGUAACUUCGGGAGAAGGGGUGCUGACCAUCUGGUCAGCCGCAGUGAAUAGGCCCAAGCGACUGUUUACCAAAAACACAGGUCUCUGCUAAUUCGAAAGAAGAUGUAUAGGGGCUGACACCUGCCCGGUGCUGGAAGGUUAAGAGGAAGGGUUAGCUUCGGCGAAGCUCUGAAUUGAAGCCCCAGUAAACGGCGGCCGUAACUAUAACGGUCCUAAGGUAGCGAAAUUCCUUGUCGGGUAAGUUCCGACCCGCACGAAAGGUGUAACGAUUUGGGCACUGUCUCAACGAGAGACUCGGUGAAAUUAUAGUACCUGUGAAGAUGCAGGUUACCCGCGACAGGACGGAAAGACCCCAUGGAGCUUUACUGUAGUUUGAUAUUGAGUGUCUGUACAGCUUGUACAGGAUAGGUAGGAGCCAAUGAAACCAGGACGCCAGUCUUGGUGGAGGCAAUGGUGGGAUACUACCCUCGCUGUAUGGCCACUCUAACCCGCAACCGUCAACCGGUUGGGAGACAGUGUCAGAUGGGCAGUUUGACUGGGGCGGUCGCCUCCUAAAGAGUAACGGAGGCGCCCAAAGGU